AUGAUGUCGGACGCCUCGUCGGAUCUCGGCGGCGGCAGGGCCGGGCCCGUGGAGCGCGACAUCGAGCAGGCCAUCACUGCUCUCAAGAAAGGAGCAUACCUGCUGAAGUAUGGACGUAGAGGGAAGCCAAAAUUUUGUCCCUUCAGACUUUCCAAUGAUGAAUCUAUAUUGAUUUGGUUCUCAGGGAAAGAGGAGAAGCAACUAAGAUUGAGUCAUGUGUCCAGAAUAAUUCCUGGACAGCGAACUGCGAUUUUUCAGAGGUAUCCACGACCCGAGAAGGAAUGCCAGUCAUUUUCUCUCAUAUCCCAUGAUAGAUCAUUGGACAUUAUAUGCAAAGAUAAAGAUGAAGCUGAAGUGUGGUUUGCUGGGCUAAAAACACUGAUAUCACGUAGUCACCAAAGAAAAUGGAGAACAGAAUCAAGAAGUGAUAUGCUUUCCUCUGGUACAACUAGUCCAAGAACUUAUACGAGAAGGAGCUCUCCCUUGAGUUCUCCUUUCAGUAGCAAUGAUAGUGUCCACAAGGAUGGCAGCGAAAAUUAUCGACUCCGGAGUCCAUAUGGGAGUCCACCGAAGGUUGGCUUGGACAAGGCCUUCUCUGACAUUGUAUCAUAUGCAGCCCCACCUAGACCCUUCUUCCCAUCGGAUUCUAAUGUUGGAUCAGUUCACUCUGUGUCUUCUGGGCACUCAGAUAACACAAAUGGGAACUCGAGGGGCAUCCCAAUGGAUGCUUUCCGAGUUAGUUUAUCAAGUGCUGUCAGUUCAUCAAGUCAUGGUUCUGGUCAUGAUGAUGGUGAUGCUCUAGGUGAUGUUUUCAUUUGGGGAGAGGGAACUGGGGAGGGAAUUCUUGGUGGUGGCAAUUCAAGGGUUGGAAGUUCCUCGGGUGCAAAGAUGGAUUGUCUUUUACCGAAGCCAUUGGAGUUUGCUGGAAGGCUUGAUGUGCAGAACAUUUCAUGUGGAGGAAGGCAUGCUACACUUGUCACUAAGCAGGGAGAGGUCUACUCUUGGGGUGAGGAGUCAGGUGGGCGUCUUGGUCAUGGUGUGGACUGUGACGUGCCCCAGCCAAAACUUAUCGAUGCUCUUGCUCAUAUGAACAUUGAGCUAGUAGCAUGUGGUGAGUACCAUACUUGCGCAGUCACGCUCUCUGGAGAUUUGUACACAUGGGGAAAUGGCACCUUUAAUUUUGGACUUUCAGGUCAUGGGAAUGAAGUCAGUCAUUGGAUGCCCAAAAGGCUCAAUGGACCAUUAGAAGGCAUACAUGUUUCGUCUAUUUCAUGUGGCCCUUGGCACACGGCUGUAGUAACAUCUGCAGGUCAGCUAUUCACAUUUGGAGAUGGCUCUUUUGGAGUUCUAGGUCAUGGAGAUCGUCAGAGUAUUUCGGUACCAAGGGAGGUGGAAUCCCUGAAAGGGCUACGGACUGUUCGGGCAGCUUGUGGUGUGUGGCACACAGCCGCCGUUGUUGAAGUUAUGGUUGGGAAUUCAAGUUCCAGCAAUUGUUCUUCUGGCAAGAUAUUUACAUGGGGUGAUGGUGAUAAAGGUCGUUUGGGACAUGGUGACAAAGAAACAAGACUUGUCCCAACGUGUGUGGCUUCUUUGGUUGAGCCUAACUUUUGCCAAGUAGCUUGUGGUCAUUGUUUCACGGUGGCACUAACAACCUCAGGGCAUGUGUACACAAUGGGAAGUUCUGUCUAUGGUCAGCUUGGAAAUCCACAAGCAGAUGGCAUGGUUCCUGCGCGUGUUGAAGGAAAACUACAUAAAAACUUUGUGGAGGAGAUUUCAUGUGGCGCUUAUCAUGUUGCUGUUUUGACUUCCAGGACAGAGGUGUAUACAUGGGGUAAAGGUGCUAAUGGCCGGUUAGGACAUGGUGAUGCUGAUGAUAGGAAUUCUCCUACACUAGUUGAAGCUCUGAAAGAUAAGCAAGUCAGGAGUGUUGUUUGUGGAAUUAACUUCACUGCAGCAAUAUGCAUUCACAAGUGGGUGUCUGGAGUUGAUCAGUCCAUGUGUUCUGGAUGUCGCUUGCCGUUUAACUUGAGGAGAAAACGGCAUAAUUGCUACAACUGUGCUCUUGUAUUUUGUCAUUCCUGCAGCAGUAAGAAAUCUCUGAAGGCUUCAUUAGCACCAAACCCAAACAAGCCUUACCGUGUCUGUGAUAGCUGCUACGGUAAACUUAAUGAGGGACCUGAGACAGAUAGGUAUUCUUCAGCAAAGCGCGGAGUUAUCUUACAAGGGUUCAAUGAUUCUAUCAAUGAUGAUUUGGAGACAAGAUCAAAUGUCCAAUUGUCUAGAUUGUCAUCAAUGGAAUCUUUCAAGAACAUGGAUAGCAGAUAUUCAAAGAAAAAUAAGAAGUUUGAAUUUAAUAGCAGCCGUGUUUCCCCUAUUCCAAAUGGCAGCUCUCACUGGAGCGGGCUCAACAUUUCUAAAUCUUUUGGCUCAUCAAAGAAAUUUUUCUCAGCGUCGGUUCCUGGAUCAAGAAUUGCUUCUAGGGCAACUUCACCUGUCUCAAGAAGAACAAGCCCUCCUCGAUCUACAACUCCAACACCUACCUUGGGUGGUCUAACAUCUCCUAGAGUUGUUGUAGAUGGUGCAAAGCCAAUAAAGGAUAGUGUAAGCCAAGAGGUUAUACAUUUGAGAUCUCAGGUGGAAAAUCUUACCCGGAAGUCCCAUCUACUGGAAGUUGAAUUGGAGCGAACAACUAAACAGUUAAAGGAAGCUAUUUCCAUUGCAGGGGAGGAAACUGCGAAGUGCAAAGCUGCAAAAGAAGUAAUCAAGUCGCUCACUGCACAAUUGAAGGGUAUGGCAGAGAAGCUACCUGAAGGAGCAGGAGCAGGAGCAGGAGCAGGGGCAGGGGCAGUUAAGCACAGUAGACUGCUACCACUUUCUGGAGUGCCUGUUAAUGACAUAUCAAUGGCAACUGAGAAUUUAGGUAGCCCAAGAAAUUCAGGAGAGCCAUAUUUGAACGGGUCUAAUGGGUUGAUUGUUUCUAAUGGACCAAGUUCAGUUAGAAAUAAGACUCACCUGGAAGUUGGCAAGAACGGAACCAGACAGCCCGAUUCAGACUCUAAGCCUGAGUCUGAAUGGGUAGAGCAAGAUGAACCAGGGGUCUACAUCACCCUUACUGCCCUACCUGGAGGGGCUAGAGAUCUUAGGAGGGUACGGUUCAGCCGGAAGCGUUUCAGCGAGACGCAAGCAGAGCAAUGGUGGCAAGAGAACCGAGCGAGGGUAUACGAGCUGUAUAACGUUCGUGUGGUGGACAAAUCAGUCGCCAGUAUUGAUAGUGAUGUACCUCACUGA
rnacentral:rRNA from 1 species